AUGGAGAAUAAGGAGGAGAACCUAGAGGGACCAACAAAGAAACCAGAAAGAGCGGUCUCGACCUGGGACGACACGGAACCUGAAUAUGUUUUCCUGAAUUUAGGCUUAAAAAAGUUGAGAAGCACUUUCAAGCGCAGAGAGCGGCAAGAAGGAGUGAAAACUCAAAAACUGUUGGUGCCGCCACCAAAGAAAAGAGGGGUAGACCUCAUGGAGAUUGAUGAGGAAUAUGAGUCGGCGAAAAAAGUAAGGAUGGAGGAGAAGAAAACAGAUGGAGUGCUAGGAGAAGAAGUCUUUAACAAAGAUGAUUCAGACAAGGAAGCUGGGCUGCCACGACAGCCCGGCGGGAGAAAAUGA
rnacentral:rRNA from 1 species